rnacentral:lncRNA from 1 species
UGGGAACCAAAAUAACAGUCCAACACCAAUCCGAUUUUUCCAGUGUUUUUAUUUUUGUAGCCGUGGGUAAUAUAAUUCCUUCUUUCUUGUCGAUCUGAUUCUCUUCUUCAUCUUCAUCGGCGAUCUCUCGAUCUCAAUCUCAAGAGAUCGAGAAGAAAAACAUUGAACACUCGAUCUCUCAAUCUCCAAUCUCUUCUUAUCAUUCUCUUCUUCACCAUCGAUCUCUCAAUCUCCAAUCUCUUCUUCCUCAUCAACCUUCCACAUCGAUCACAAGAGAAAAAGUUAUCUUCAAAGUUCAAAUCUCAAGAGAGAGGCGAAGUUCUCUUCAGACGAAAUUGGAGUUUUUAGUUUUGCUUCGCACUUUCUCUCCUUAAGGUAUUUCGAAUUGAACGAUUGUUUAUGAUUUUCAAUUGAUUUCCAGCUUCAUUCUUCUCUCAAUUGUUUAUGAUUGUUUAUGACUUAGGGUUCUAAAUCAAAGGUUUUAUCAAUCUCUAUUGUUUAUGUAAAGUUUUGUUGAUUGAAUUUCACUGAUUGCAGUUUAUCGACUUAUAAAUGUGAUUGAGAUUGUUAGGUUUAAUGGUCAUUAUACAUAUGAUUUGAUAUGGUUAGGUUCAAUGAUCAACAAAUGUUCUUAAAACCUGGAUCCAAAUUCCAAAUACUGUGCAUUUGCCUCAUAAAUACCUUUUUUUCUAGUCACAAUUUUAUUCAAAACACAGUUGUUAAAUGCCUGGUGCGCUGUUUUUUGUCCCACGAUGGUCCUUGAUCUGCCUGGUGCGCUAUUUCAAUUGUACAUUUGUCUUCAUCAAAACUGCUAUAUAUCACCAUCAUCACAAGGAGAGUAGUAAUACUGCACAUGUCUGCCUUACUUAGCUGAUUGAUUGAGAUUAGUUUCUAGAUAUCAGUAUACUUAUGAAGUUUGAGAUGGUUCAAGGAAUGUAUGUGUAGACUAGUAUCUACAAGUGUCUGUUUCAUGAGUAAGAGAGUGAUCUUCUAGAACUAGGCCCUGAACCCAAUAUACAAUGACCUGCCUUUAUUAGUUUUCUUUUGAUUUGUAAUAGUCUUAUUCUUUCAUCUGAUGCAACAUUCAGAUUUAGAAUUCCAAGAAACCGCUUUGGAAAUAGAAGAUUUGGGCCCUGUUCGGUUGUAGAAAAAUGAGCUUGUUUUCCAAAAAAUGUUUUUCGUAGAUAACAAAAAACAGAGAACCUGUUCGCUUGUACUUCCUUUUCAGAUUUUAGAAAUGGGUUUUCAGUUUUCUAAAAAGUUUCCAUUUUCUGUUUUGGCUUAUAGACGGAAAACUCUAAAACGACAUUUUCUAAAUUAUAGAAAACACGAGUUAAGGUUAAGUCCUCCAUCAAAAUAUAUAUCUCUCGUCGCUCUCCGAAGGUUCUCUACUAUGUUUGAAAGCCAUCAUAUGACCAAAAAUCACGCAUUGAAGUUAUACACCUGAUGUUUCUAAUUAAAUCUUGUUCUUUCAAAUGCUGAAAUAAUAAGUCACCCAUUUGAUUUUGCAAUCUUUAGCAAUGAAAUAAAUAAUUCUUAUGUAGAAUCUAGCCUAUUGACGACAAACUAGAAAUUUUUUAAAUUAAAUUGCUUGUUAUAUUUUUGUCUGAUAUGAUUAUUUAUGUCAUUUAUAUGCAUGUAUGACUAUUUCUUAUUGUUUUUGUGAAAUUCAUCGUUUUAUUGGUAGAGAAUUUUGUUUGUUUGAAUAUUGGUCUUACGUGGUAAAAGCUACAAAUUUACCUCAUAUUAAAGUUUACACUAUUUAUAUGUAUGUAGAUUCAUCAUGGAGAGGCUUAAUUCUAUUGACAAAAGUUGGAUACCAUUAGAUGUCAAUGACUCGCAUUUUAUUGGAGGUCUUGAAUUGUUUAUUGACUUUGCCGUAAAACAUUGUCGGGGUUGUAUAUGCAGCUCUCAAUCUGAUUUAGAAGCUACUCUCUUUAAGGUACCUAUUUUCUCUCUUCUGUUAUAGUUAUGUUAAGAAAGAUAUGAAGUUAUCUAUGCAUGUUGUAUUGGUUGAAGACUACUUUCCAAGAAGCCUCGUGCCAUUAAGGAAGUAUAUUGUUUCCUUUCUUUGUCAUUCAAAUGCAUGAUUUAUAGUCAUUCUGUUAUUAGUUUCUUGAUGAUUGUGAAGUGAUUGUUUUAAAAGAUCUUCUCCAUUAAAUUUUACUUGUCAGAGUAUCAAAUAGUUACAUUUAUAGAGCAAUAAACACAAUUCAUACUUUAUAGGUACCUUAAUAAUUGUAGGAACUUUAGCAAUAAACUCAAUCCAUACUUUAUAGGUACCUUGAUAAUUGUAGGAACUUUAGCAAUAAACGCAAUCCAUACUUAAUAUAGAGCUCUUGUUACUGGAAAUUCCAUUGUUUUGCACGGAGAUUUGCAUAAGUACUUAAGAUAUGAGGUAGAUAGGAGCUGAGGACAACACUUUGCUCCCAACUGGUAUAGAGCGAAGGUUUUUCGUUUUACUAUACAAUACUAUCACUAUUCCUUGUAAUUUAGGUUUGACGAGGUUUUUCUUGGUUUGAGGGUCACAUACACGUUGCAUAAUGUGUGUUUAUAGAGGAAAAGGUAGGCCAUCUUCUACAUAAGCUGUUUUGAAUAAAGAGUCGUUGUUUGGUAGUUAGGUGUGCUGCUAAUUCUAUGGUCCAUAUGUGUUGUCAAUCUAGGAAACUGGUCUAUAUAAUUUUGUACUUCCUUUAAAAAAACUCCACAUGUAAGUAUGCGUGAUAGUUUUGAUGGUUCCAAUCCAUGUCUAUUUGAUUUCACAAAGUACUUUUAUUUGUUCUUAAUAUUGAGAGGGCGAUCAAAACAAAGUUGGAGGGUGAAAUUUAGAGUUUCAUUCUUUGCAGUUCUCCUCUUGUUUACACUUCACCUAGCUAAUAAUAUUAUCACACCCCCCUAUUUGAUAAGUUACCUAAUAAUUUGGAUGAAGAUAUUUGUGGCUGCUUCUUGUCCUGGUCUCGUCACUUUAUUUCUCACGCAAAACGUAUAUGUAGUUGCUUGACUUUCAUUAAUCAUUAUUAGUAAGAAUUAAUUCUUUUGAGUUUUGCACUCUAUUCUUACUCUGUUGUAUAAUGGCAGUACAGAACCUUCCAUUCAUUGAGAACAUGGAGAAAAGGAUUCAGAGUGCAAGCUCAAUGUUUUUACCUACUGCUUAAUACAGAACUGGGAGACGUUGGUGGUUGACGCGUGGUAGGGGUGACUGCUCUCUGUUCACUAGAACAUGCCAAUAUUGCUGCAGACCAAAAGAAAGGAGGCAGGACAUAAUUGUUCACUAAAAACAGGCCAAUAUUGCUGCAGACCAAAGGAAGGGAUUUGUAGGAUAGCUUUUGAUGGUUGCGAACUGUCACAAGAACGUAAUUGUUUUGCACUCCAUUUUAUUUCAUUGGUGUAAUUGUUUAAAGUUGAUGAUAUACAUGUUGUUGUUGUAACCAUUUAUUUUGGAAUUUUGUCUUAAAUGUUUGAGAAGAUAAAGUAAAAUGUUUUCUCUUUUGGAAUUGCAUCAGGCACUGGCAGUACUGAAAUAUUGAAAAUGUGAAUGUAGGAAUUUUUUUUUUUUU